AUAGAAUUUAGAACAGUACCUGAUGCGUAGUUAAUGCUCAACAAGGAGUGUUCUUUCUUGGAACCAUCUGCCAAGCUGUGAGGAAGCUCCAGAGCCAUAUGACAAGACCUGAUGGAGGAUAACUGAGGACUUUGGCCAACAACCCCAGCUGAGCUCCAGUUGGAAUGUGAAUGAGGCCAUUUUGAGUGUUCCAGCCUAUUGGAGCCCUAGCCAACACUCUACAAACUAGAACUGCCUGAUUGACCCGCAGAAUCAUAAGAAAUAAAGUAAUUUGAAGGCCUUCCCUGACUUAAAGUGGAUGCUGCUUUGGAAAGCACUGGAAAAAUGGAUCCUGUCUUUCUUAGCCAAGGACUGGUCUCUUUUCUCCAAUGUGUCCCUAACAGAGUGGUGAGGCUGGCUCUUCCCACCAGUACAGACAGAAUUUUCAAUUCACAAAUCAUCUGAAAAACAGGAAAUUUUGGAGAAACAUGCUUAUGAUAACAAACAAGGGAUCUAUCGUGUGGUAUAGAAGUUUACACAAAGAGGCAUCUGAUUUUAAGUUUUUGUUUUUUUUUUUUUUUUUUUUUUUACCGUUCUGGGCUUCUGGCUGCAUUCUAGGAAGAUCAUUCCUUAAAAGAAAUAGCCAUAUGGCUUAUAAGGAUUGUGUGUCCAGUGUUCAGAAGAGUGCCUGGCACAUCAAAAGUGCUGAGUUAAUGUUUAUUGGGUAAAUGAAUACAGUUUUGGGAAUCAUGAACAUUGAGAACCUAGGCCCAGACAAUUCUAAGGGACUAUAUCUUAAGACUAUGUGUCUUCUGCAGUUCUUUGCAUAGAGUCAACGUUGAAGGACAAGCAACUUCAAAUUUCCAAGCAACAAAAUUAUGUUCGGGUGGUUUUCUGAAAGCGAGAUCUUAAGAACCACCUGUAUCAGAAUCCCAUGAAGAGCUUGUUUAGUGUGCAAAUUUACAGAUUGUCCCCCCUCAGAAAUGCUCAUUUAGGAGUUCCUGUCCUUUGCGGGGACAUGGAUGAAGCUGGAAACCAUCAUUCUCAGCAAACUAACACAGGAACAGAAAACCAAACACUGCAUGUUCUCACUCAAAAGUGGGAGUUGAACAAUGAGAACACAUGGACACAGGGAGGGGAACGUCACACACCAGGGCCUGUCGGGGGUGGGAGGUGCUAAAAGGAUAAUACCAAGGAAAACUAUGGGUGGGGGCAGUGAAUGGCCAGCAUGCCUAUAAUCCCAGCACUUGAAGCCAGGAGUUCGAGACCAGCCUGGGAAACAAAGCAAGACCCUGUGUCUAAAAAAAUUUUUUUAAAAAUAAGCUGGGCAUGGUGGCACGUGCCUAUAGUCCCAGCUACUCAGCUACUCGGGAGACCAAGACAUGGAAUAAACUUGACAAGUGCUAAAGAUGCUCUUUGAUUUUUGUGUGGCAUGAGACCUCAGGCUGAAACUUCUCAUCUGAGCCAUUGAAGGGAGCCUCUCAUCUCUCCACCGAGAGGGGAGACCAGAAUGGCUCCUUCAGGCACAUUCUGUUGGGCUUCCCUCUACCUCCCCACUCUGCUGCUUCCCCGCUCUUUUUGAAUUUCUCCCUGUUGAGGAGAGGGAAGACCAGCUAGGAGAGGAUCUGGAUUGAGAAACUUGCCAUGCUUUUCUCUCAGAUGUUCUCUUUUCUCUGAAGACAGCAGGACCUCAUCCAAAGCUCUGUUUCUGGCAGGAAUCUGACACCACUUACUCCUUGGGUAGAAACUCCCCCAAGUCUGAACUAUGUGAUUGCCUGAGCCCUGCUUCUUGUUCAUUAAGACUGCUCCUCUGAAACGGAAUUGAUGAAUUUUUAGUGGCUAUUAGAAGCAUUUGGGAUCCAUAGGCAUCAGGGUUUGAUGCAUGGCCCUCAUCUCUGUGGGCUCCUGUGCAAUGAUUCUCAUCUGUCUUAGUUAGAAAGUGAAUUAAUCUUGACCUUGGCCUCAGGGGUGUGGUUCUCUGCCCUCUUACACAUCUUCAAUUCGCUUCUUUAUCAGAAGCACUUGUUUUAGGCCCAGGCUCCCCCAAUUUUAAUGACAUUUAGACAUUUGUCUUUAAGUUACAUUGCUUUGAUUUUAAUCAAAAUCUAUAUUUCUAGUAUUAUAUGUUUCCAGAAAGUUCUCAUUCUGGAUUGUAAUUUAAUUACAUGGAUCAUUAAAGCUUUGAAGGAUGCUAAUGGGCAGAAAAAAGAGACUUAACAAAACGAAAGUUAUUAUUAGGAAUUACAAAUCACUUAACAUUUCAACAUCACUCGUCGGAUGUGGGCAUUUUGUUGAAAGAGACCUUGUUUUGAACAGUGACAGUGCAGAAGACCUAUGGAAGAAACAAGCUUCCAACUUGAUUUCUAUUGUUAUGCAUGCAUAGCAAAUUAUUAAUUCUAUUCUAAUAGGGUAAUAGAUUUAGAAAUACUAUUAGCAGAAAACUUGAUGUAUUAGGCAAUACUACAUACCACAUUAGUCUAACCGCUCAACUGUAAUUUUUCAUCCAUACUUUCUUGGGAUGUAAAUAAAAUUGAUAUUAUACAAUGAAAAUAAAA
rnacentral:lncRNA from 1 species